rnacentral:rRNA from 1 species
UACGGAGGGUGCGAGCGUUGUCCGGAAUCACUGGGCGUAAAGGGCGCGUAGGCGGCUUCUCAAGCGCGUGGUGAAAGUCCGGGGCUCAACCCCGGAUCGGCCGUGCGGACUGGGGAGCUCGAGUUCUGUAGAGGCGGGUGGAAUUCCGGGUGUAGCGGUGGAAUGCGUAGAGAUCCGGAAGAACACCGGUGGCGAAGGCGGCCCGCUGGGCAGAGACUGACGCUGAGGCGCGACAGCGUGGGGAGCAAACAGG